rnacentral:misc_RNA from 1 species
UAAUAAGUGUUUUAUGGCACUCUUUAAAUCCAUAUCCACCUUGUGUGCAAUGUCAGUCGAUCUUCUUCAUGGAGAUCGACCAAACAUCAACCUUUAUUUUUUAACUCUUUGUCUGAAAAAUAUUAUGAAUAAACAAUUCAAAAUA